rnacentral:rRNA from 1 species
AUUGAACGCUGGCGGCAGGCUUAACACAUGCAAGUCGAACGAUGAUUAUCUAGCUUGCUAGAUAUGAUUAGUGGCGGACGGGUGAGUAACAUUUAGGAAUCUGCCUAGUAGUGGGGGAUAGCUCGGGGAAACUCGAAUUAAUACCGCAUACGACCUACGGGUGAAAGGGGGCGCAAGCUCUUGCUAUUAGAUGAGCCUAAAUCAGAUUAGCUAGUUGGUGGGGUAAAGGCCCACCAAGGCGACGAUCUGUAACUGGUCUGAGAGGAUGAUCAGUCACACCGGAACUGAGACACGGUCCGGACUCCUACGGGAGGCAGCAGUGGGGAAUAUUGGACAAUGGGGGCAACCCUGAUCCAGCCAUGCCGCGUGUGUGAAGAAGGCCUUUUGGUUGUAAAGCACUUUAAGCAGGGAGGAGAGGCUAAUGGUUAAUACCCAUUAGAUUAGACGUUACCUGCAGAAUAAGCACCGGCUAACUCUGUGCCAGCAGCCGCGGUAAUACAGAGGGUGCGAGCGUUAAUCGGAAUUACUGGGCGUAAAGCGAGUGUAGGUGGCUCAUUAAGUCACAUGUGAAAUCCCCGGGCUUAACCUGGGAACUGCAUGUGAUACUGGUGGUGCUAGAAUAUGUGAGAGGGAAGUAGAAUUCCAGGUGUAGCGGUGAAAUGCGUAGAGAUCUGGAGGAAUACCGAUGGCGAAGGCAGCUUCCUGGCAUAAUAUUGACACUGAGAUUCGAAAGCGUGGGUAGCAAACAGGAUUAGAUACCCUGGUAGUCCACGCCGUAAACGAUGUCUACUAGCCGUUGGGGUCCUUGAGACUUUAGUGGCGCAGUUAACGCGAUAAGUAGACCGCCUGGGGAGUACGGCCGCAAGGUUAAAACUCAAAUGAAUUGACGGGGGCCCGCACAAGCGGUGGAGCAUGUGGUUUAAUUCGAUGCAACGCGAAGAACCUUACCUGGUCUUGACAUAGUGAGAAUCCUGCAGAGAUGCGGGAGUGCCUUCGGGAAUUCACAUACAGGUGCUGCAUGGCUGUCGUCAGCUCGUGUCGUGAGACGUUGGGUUAAGUCCCGCAACGAGCGCAACCCUUUUCCUUAUUUGCCAGCGGGUUAAGCCGGGAACUUUAAGGAUACUGCCAGUGACAAACUGGAGGAAGGCGGGGACGACGUCAAGUCAUCAUGGCCCUUACGACCAGGGCUACACACGUGCUACAAUGGUAGGUACAGAGGGUUGCUACACAGCGAUGUGAUGCUAAUCUCAAAAAGCCUAUCGUAGUCCGGAUUGGAGUCUGCAACUCGACUCCAUGAAGUCGGAAUCGCUAGUAAUCGCAGAUCAGAAUGCUGCGGUGAAUACGUUCCCGGGCCU